UGUUGCUGAACUGGGCGGCUGAACCUGAGCUUACGCGACAGUCGGCGACCCGCCUACAAACGUCGCGCUUCCUUCCUUCUCUGCAUGCCGGUUCACGUGCGUCAGUUUACAGGACAGCUGGUUGGGUUUUUAGUUUUUUUUAACAUUUAUCCGCAAGCAUACAUGUUUGCCUGAGUUGAAACGGAUUGGCCUGCUACUUGUGUGUCUUGGGGAAUUGUAGGUUGGAAGAACCAUAAAGGGAAAGACAAGGGUUCGGAGGAGAAAAAAAUUGACAUUUCAAGUUCAACAUCUCUAGCGUCAUGCUGUCUUGGAGCAGGUGUCACUGUGUUCUGCUGUUACAGCUGCUGACAGUCAUAGCUGGCUCUUUUCCUUCAGUAAAGGUGAAUCUUCAUGAUGCUGCUACUCUCCACUGCACUCAGACGUGUUCUGGUCUGGUCACAUGGACUUUAUAUCAUAAACCACAUGACAUUCUGGCUCAGUGUAACCAG